CCUUCUUUCACUUCACCAGUCUAAAACUAGCCAGAUGGGAUGCACGGUUGACAUACCUUUUUUCCCUACCUAUAAUAAAUGGUACCCCGUUAAGGUUUUGGAAACAUAUUUUAACACUUUCCACAAACAACCACACCAACCACUAUUAGAACUACAUGGUUCCAUUCUUACUACUGCUAAAUUUAUGCUCUAUGUCUGUAUGCUAUUGACUAGACUUGGCCUAAAUGCAAAUCAUUACUCAAGACACUCUCUACACAUAGGGGCAACAUCAUCUGCUUCCUCCAACCACAUUCAAGCUCAUAUAAUCAAAGUUAUGGGACGCUGGAAAUCAUCUGCUUACACACUAUACAUACCAAACCCAAUUAAAGAGUUACGGCAAGCAUUCUGUGAUUUGUCCAAAUAAU